AUCCAGUUGACGAAUCCCAAAUGGGACGAAAUACGCGUCCUGGAU
rnacentral:hammerhead_ribozyme from 1 species